rnacentral:rRNA from 1 species
GACGAACGCUGGCGGCGUGCCUAAUACAUGCGAGUUGAGCGAUGAAGAUUGGUGCUUGCACCAAUUUGAAGAGCAGCGAACGGGUGAGUAACGCGUGGGGAAUCUGCCUUUGAGCGGGGGACAACAUUUGGAAACGAAUGCUAAUACCGCAUAACAACUUUAAACAUAAGUUUUAAGUUUGAAAGAUGCAAUUGCAUCACUCAAAGAUGAUCCCGCGUUGUAUUAGCUAGUUGGUGAGGUAAAGGCUCACCAAGGCGAUGAUACAUAGCCGACCUGAGAGGGUGAUCGGCCACAGUGGGACUGAGACACGGCCCAAACUCCUACGGGAGGCAGCAGUAGGGAAUCUUCGGCAAUGGACGAAAGUCUGACCGAGCAACGCCGCGUGAGUGAAGAAGGUUUUCGGAUCGUAAAACUCUGUUGGUAGAGAAGAACGUUGGUGAGAGUGGAAAGCUCAUCAAGUGACGGUAACUACCCAGAAAGGGACGGCUAACUACGUG